rnacentral:lncRNA from 1 species
AUGGGGGUGGAAAGCUGUGUGACCUUUGAGCCGGGCUCUGCUAGGCUGAAAGUGGGGACGAUAACCCCCACUCCGUUCAGAUGUCAGCAGAACCGAGGACUCUUGUGCCACUCCUCACCGGAGUGUUCCGCUGAGGCCCAGAAGGAAGAACCUUCAGAAGUGGCAGAAGGAUCUGACCCCAGCCUGCCCUGUGGCUCCUCCCAAGGGGGGUCCCAGUGGAACACGGCCGAUGCCUUCCCUUAUCCGCGCCGCAGCUCCUGGCCCCAAAUUCAUGGCUGGCUCUUCUAUGGAUUCUGAACCUUGUCAACACAGUCCUCCAGUGAGCAGGAGUGACCCGAUCACACGAUGCUCUCCCCACUUUUUCAGGAAGCGCCUGAAAAACUCUCUUUACUUCCCUUGCUCAGUGGUAACUGGGCAAUGGAAGGGGUUCCGUAAACCAGAAUGAAUGAGCGAGCCAUUCUGAAUGACAGAAUGGUUUCCAAGGAUGUCAGGUCCUGGGAAUGUGUCACUCUCCUCAAAGGCAAGAAUAAAUUAUGCAAAUCUCUGAAGCCAGACUUUUUGCCUUCUCACUCCCUGCCUCCUUCCUCCAACCAGGUU